rnacentral:misc_RNA from 1 species
UACGAGAGGUGCAAACGUUAUUCGGAAUCAUUGGGCGUAAAGGGUGCGUAGGCGGCUUAUUAAGUUUGUUGUUAAAUAUCUCGGCCUAACCGAGAACCAGCAAUGAAAACUGAUUGGCUAGAGGAUGGAAGAGAGGAGUGGAAUUCUCGGAGUAGCGGUAAAAUGCGUAGAUCUCGAGAGGAACACCGAUGGCGAAGGCAGCUCCUUAGUCCAUAUCUGACGCUGAGGCACGAAAGCGUGGGUAGCAAACAGG